GGAGAAUUGAGGGGGGCUGCUCCUAGUACGAGAGGACCGGAGUGGACGCAUCACUGGUGUUCGGGUUGUCAUGCCAAUGGCACUGCCCGGUAGCUAAAUGCGGAAGAGAUAAGUGCUGAAAGCAUCUAAGCACGAAACUUGCCCCGAGAUGAGUUCUCCCUGAGACUUUAAGUCUCCUGAAGGAACGUUAAAGACGAUGACGUUGAUAGGCCGGGUGUGUAAGCGCAGCGAUGCGUUGAGCUAACCGGUACUAAUGAACCGUGAGGCUUAACCUUACAACGCCGAAG
rnacentral:rRNA from 1 species